GCCGGGCAUGGUGGCAUGCACCUGUAAUCCCAGCUACUCAGGAGGCUGAGGCAGGAGAAUCGCUUGAACCCGGGAGGCAGAGGUUGCAGUGAGCUGAGAUGGCACCACUGCAUUCCAGCCUGGUGACAGAGCAAGACUCUGUCUCAUAAAACAAACAAAUAAACAAAAGGAAUCUACAGUUCUCUGGUUUUCCACAUUCUUUUUUUUAUUUUUUGAGAAGGAGUCUCGCUCUGUCACCAGGCUGGAGUGCAGUGGCUCCAUCUCAGUUCACUGCAACCUCCGCCUCCUGGGUUCCAGCGAUUCUCCUGCCUCAG
rnacentral:SRP_RNA from 2 species